GAGAGCCGGAUGCUUGGAAACUUGCACGUCCGGUUCGGAGGGGGCUUGUUGGAAAAGUGCUUAUAAAUAUAAGUAACUCGCUAGCUUGCUACCCUAC
rnacentral:ncRNA from 1 species